GUUCUCGUUUGUUGUGAAAGUAUUGCGGAAAAAAUCUUCUACUGGUGUUGCAAAUAUGAAUAAUGAGACUGCUGCAACAAGCAAAGCCCCUGUUCCAACUAGCGUUUGCUUCAGCAUUUUAAUGACUGGUUUCACCUAGCUGGCAAUAUUUUCCUACUGUGGGAAUGAGGAGGAACAGAGGAAGCAAAGAGAAAGAACCUGUUAAAUAAGUAUGCAAAGGAAAGACCACUAACCUCUGGGGGCUUCACCCACAUCUGCCCAUCAUACCAUCCAGUCUCUUCAUAAGAUCUUGUGGCCUUCUCAGGACUAGUUUUAAGUUUUUUACACUGAGAGUGUAAGAAUAUUUACAGAACCAGAUUGGAUCAAAUGGAUGAGGCCAGGAAUGAAUACAAAGAAUUGAGAACAUACCGGCCUUUGUUCAAAUGGCACCUCAAUUUCCAAGCCUGGGUCCCAACUACGACCACCUAAUCCACUGCCAUUCGUGCCACCGUUCAUCCCAUCUUUCAGGGCUUUAACUCGAAUGUUCCUCCGACAUACAAUCGUUGCUUUGUUCGAUAAAAUGAUCCACGAGCGGCAGCUUUUGUUGACUUCUAUCGGACUAGAAACUAUGGAGCCAUAUAAAUUUAGCCUUAGCAUUUGUGAAUUUUCUUGCAACCAUAGAAUUCAGAAGAAAAAGUAGCUAGAUAGAAGUUCUUUUUUUUUUUUGACCAUGCAUCAUACGUGAUGGAAAAUUAUCAGUAGUUGAAUAUUCUCUGUUAUCUCCCCCAAAAAUGACGAUCUUUAUAAUUUCUUAUCUUUGUCCAAUUAGAAUCAGCCAACUGAGAGCUGCUCUUUUGGAUUGUGUGUGUUCGACCACCAGUUUAAACGUUGUGGUCCACUUAUGUGGCUCCUACAUAGGAUUAUCUUGAAUUAUAGAUUGUAAAUAAAUAUGAAGCAUUUUUUGUGGUA